GCUUACGGCCACACCGGAUCUCGGAAGCUAAGAUAGGUUGGGCCUGGUUAGUACUUGGAUGGGAGACCGCCUAGGAAUACCAGGUGCUGUAAGAC
rnacentral:rRNA from 14 species